rnacentral:lncRNA from 1 species
CACCAAAACCACCGGCAGUAAAACCUCCUAAACCCCCCACCAAACCUCCCACCCUUAAACCACACCCCCACCCUAAACCUCCCACCGUUAGACCACAUCCACACCCUAAGCCCCCUACCAAACCUCAUCCCAUCCCAAAACCGCCCACCGUUAAACCACCACCCUCCACACCCAAACCGCCCACAAAACCACCCACCGUUAAACCACCUCCAUCCACCCCUAAGCCGCCCACCAAACCACCCACCGUCAAACCACCACCCUCCACCCCAAAACCGCCCACCAAGCCACCCACCGUCAAACCACCUCCGUCCACCCCUAAACCACCUACCCACAAGCCACCAACAGUGUGCCCACCGCCAACACCAACACCAACCCCACCUGUUGUAACGCCACCAACACCACCAACACCAACUCCACCAGUCGUUACGCCACCAACACCAGCCCCACCUGUUGUAACGCCACCAACACCAACACCACCGGUCGUAACGCCACCGACACCAACCCCUCCUGUCGUAACACCUCCAACACCACCGGUCGUAACGCCACCGACACCAACUCCUCCUGUCGUAACACCACCAACACCACCGGUCGUAACGCCACCGACACCAACCCCUCCUGUCGUAACACCUCCAACACCACCGGUCGUAACGCCACCGACACCAACCCCUCCUGUCGUAACACCACCAACACCAACUCCACCUAAGCCAGAAACGUGCCCAAUCGACACGUUGAAGCUAGGCGCUUGUGUAGACGUUCUUGGAGGUUUAAUUCACAUCGGGCUUGGUGGAAGUAGCGCCAAGAAAGAGUGUUGUCCGGUUUUGGGAGG